UUGCUUCAGCAGCUCAUAUACAGAAAUUAGAACAAUACAGAGAAGAUUAGCUUGGCCCCUAUGCAAAGAUGACACCCAAAUUUGUGAAGUGUUCCAUAUUUUU